rnacentral:lncRNA from 1 species
UACUUAUUCAUGUUAAACUCCUUCAACAUAAAAUCUAUGUACCUAGACUGAGACAAGCCUAACAUCCACUUACAUCUAUCCUUAUAGAUGCCAAGUAUAUUGGAUGCUUAACCUCAAGUCUUUUCCAUGAAAAUUUUUAUGAUAAGUAUGUCAUUCAUCGAGUGCAAUAUUAGAACUAUCUCCCAAUAUGCUGUAUAUCAUCGAUGUACAUAAUCAAGAAGUUAGUGGAUCUUUCACUUAUCUUCUUGCACACACAC